GCGGUACCCUGACMGWGCAAAGGUAGCAUAAUCWUUUGUUCUUWAAAUAAGGACUCGUAUCAACGGCAUCASGAGGGUUWUACUGUYUYCUCUUUCCAAUCAGUGAAACUGACCUCCCCGUGAAGAGGSGGGGAURAAAAUACAAGAMGAGAAGACCSCAUGGAGMUUUAAACCCAAUAACAACUCUUUCUARAUARACUUUAAAAACACAGAUGUACUGUUUAUUGGUUUURGGUUGGGGUGACCACGGAGUAAAAAUUAACCUCCCUGAUGGACAGAUUUCAUCUUUAUCCAAGAGCUACUGCUCAMAGAAUCAAAAAUUUGACAUUACAUGAUCCGGCAACCGAUCAACGAACCAAGUUACCCUGGGGAUAACAGCGCAAUCCAUUUU
rnacentral:rRNA from 1 species